UGAGGAAUAUUGCACAAUGGGGGAAACCCUGAUGCAGCGACGCCGCGUGGGUGACGAAGGCCUUCGGGUCGUAAAGCCCUUUUGCCACUGACGAGAGAGGACGGUAGGUGGCGAAUAAGCCUCGGCUAACUACGUGCCAGCAGCCGCGGUAAAACGUAGGAGGCGAGCGUUAUCCGGAGUUACUGGGCGUAAAGCGCGCGCAGGCGGUACCGUAAGUGGGGUGUGAAAUCUCUGGGCUAAACCUAGAGGGUGCGCCUCAGACUGCGGAACUAGAGUGGGAUAGAGGGACGUGGAAUUCCGGGUGGAGCGGUGAAAUGUGUAGAGAUCCGGAGGAACACCAGAGGCGCAAGCGGCGUCCUGGGUCCUAACUGACGCUGAGGCGCGAAAGCUUGGGGAGCGAACGGG
rnacentral:rRNA from 1 species